rnacentral:rRNA from 1 species
AGAACGAACGCUGGCGGCAGGCUUAACACAUGCAAGUCGAGCGCCCAGCAACGGGAGCGGCGGACGGGUGAAUAACGCGUGGGAAUAUGCCCUUUGGUACGGAACAACUCAGGGAAACUUGAGCUAAUACCGUAUGUGCCGGUAACGGGAAAGAUUUAUCGCCAAAGGAUUAGCCCGCGUCCGAUUAGCUAGUUGGUGAGGUAACGGCCCACCAAGGCACCGAUCGGUAGCUGGUCUGAGAGGACGACCAGCCACACUGGGACUGAGACACGGCCCAGACUCCUACGGGAGGCAGCAGUGGGGAAUCUUGGACAAUGGGGGAAACCCUGAUCCAGCCAUGCCGCGUGAGUGAUGAAGGCCUUAGGGUUGUAAAACUCUUUCGACGGGGACGAUAAUGACGGUACCCGUAGAAGAAGCUCCGGCUAACUUCGUGCCAGCAGCCGCGGUAAUACGAAGGGGGCUAGCGUUGUUCGGAAUUACUGGGCGUAAAGCGCGCGCAGGCGGCCUUCCAAGUCAGGGGUGAAAGCCCAGAGCUCAACUCUGGAACUGCCUUUGAAACUGUUAGGCUUGAGUACGGGAGAGGUGAGUGGAAUUCCCAGUGUAGAGGUGAAAUUCGUAGAUAUUGGGAAGAACACCGGUGGCGAAGGCGGCUCACUGGCCCGUAACUGACGCUCAGGCGCGACAGCGUGGGGAUCAAACAGGAUUAGAUACCCUGGUAGUCCACGCCGUAAACGAUGAACGCUAGCCGUUGGCAAGCUUGCUUGUCAGUGGCGCAGCUAACGCAUUAAGCGUUCCGCCUGGGGAGUACGGCCGCAAGGUUGAA